rnacentral:tRNA from 1 species
UCCCUUGUGGUCCAGUGGCUAAGGCUCUGCACUCCCAAUGAAGGGGGGCCCGGGUUCGAUUCCUGGUCAGGGAA